CGAACGUGGAGAUAGCUGGUUCUCCCCGAAAUAGCUUUAGGGCUAGCCUCAGGCGAAUCACCAUAGAGACGGUAGAGCACUGAUCGGGCAAGGGGGCGUAAAGCCUACCGACCCCAGUCAAACUACGAAUGGCUCAUAUGGGCAGCCUGGGAGUCAGAAUGCGAGUGAUAAGACCCGUAUUCAAGAGGGAAACAGCCCAGACCGCCGGCUAAGGUCCCAAAUGCUGUGCUAAGUGGAAAAGGAUGUAGGACUUCGAAAACAACCAGGAUGUUGGCUCAGAAGCAGCCACCAUUAAAAGAGUGCGUAAUAGCUCACUGGUCGAGAGGCCCUGCGCCGAAAAUAUCCGGGGCUAAAGCACAGAACCGAAGCCGCGGCAGGGUGUACUAAGGUACACACUGGGUAGGGGAGCGUUCUUAUCUGGACGAAGGCAGACCGGAAGGACUGCUGGACGGGUAAGAAGUGAGAAUGCCGGUAUGAGUAGCGAAACGACAGGUGAGAAUCCUGUCCACCGAAAGCCUAAGGGAUCCUGGGCAACGCUCGUCGCCCCAGGGUAAGUCGGGACCUAAGCCGAGGCGAAAAGCAUAGGCGAUGGACAACUGGCGAAAAUUCCAGUACCGGGCGUCUUCGUUUAAGGAUGGAGUGACGCAGGAAGGAAGCUGAGCGCGCGAAUGGUUGGGCGCGUCGAAGGCGGUAGGCUUGUAUGGAGGCAAAUCCCCAUACUACAAGGCCGAGAACCGAUAGAUAGGAAAGACUACGGUCAAUCUGAAUUCAGCUGCACUACACUGCCAAGAAAAGCUUCUAACGAGAAGACGUCCGCCCGUACCAAAACCGACACAGGUAGGCGGGGAGAGAAUCCUAAGGUGCGCGGGAAAACCCUCGUUAAGGAACUCGGCAAAAUGCAUCCGUAACUUCGGGAAAAGGAUGGCCGUUGAUGGUGAAGACAUUUACUGUUGGAGCUGUUGGCGGCGGCAGAAAAGAGGCCCAAGCGACUGUUUACCACAAACACAGGUGCCUGCGAAAGCGCAAGCUGAAGUAUAGGUGCUGACGCCUGCCCGGUGCAGGAAGGUUAAGGAGAGUUGUUAGUCCUCGAGAUGAAGCAGCGAACUGAAGCCCCUGUAAACGGCGGCCGUAACUAUAACGGUCCUAAGGUAGCGAAAUUCCUUGUCGGGUAAGUUCCGACCCGCACGAAAGGCGUAACGAUUUGGGCACUGUCUCAACGAGGGACCCGGUGAAAUUGAAAUACCUGUGAAGAUGCAGGUUACCCGCGACUGGACAGAAAGACCCCAUGGAGCUUUACUGCAGCUUGGCAUUGGUCUUUGGCAUAUGACGUACAGGAUAGCCGGGAGACUGGGAGGAUAGAUCGCUAGAUUUAUCGGAGUCACCGUUGGGAUACCGGCCUUUAUAUGCGAAGGAUCUAACCGGAAUGUUAACAGCAUUCGGGACAGUACCAGGCGGGCAGUUUGACUGGGGCGGUCGCCUCCGAAAGAGCAACGGAGGCGUCCAAAGGUUCCCUCAGCGCGGACAGAAAUCGCGCGCAGAGCAUAAAGGCAGAAGGGAGCUUGACUGCGAGACUGACGGGUCGAGCAGGUACGAAAGUAGGGCUUAGUGAUCCGGUGGAAAGAGAGUGGAAUUGCCAUCGCUCAACGGAUAAAAGCUACCCUGGGGAUAACAGGCUAAUCUCUCCCAA
rnacentral:rRNA from 1 species